AGUCGUAACAAGGUUUCCGUAGGUGAACCUGCGGAAGGAUCAUUAAUGAAUUUAAAAGGGGGGAGAGUCGUUGCUGGCCGCAAGGAUCGUGCACGCUCUUUUUCUGUUUCAUUCUCACACCUGUGCACCUUAUUGUAGGCUGAGCAAUCAGCCUAUGUUUUUCUAUACACACCCUGUAAAGUUUAACGAAUGUCAUCAAUAAAUGGUUGUAAUGACCUUUUAUAAACAAAAAAAACUAUACAACUUUCAACAACGGAUCUCUUGGCUCUCGCAUCGAUGAAGAACGCAGCGAAAUGCGAUAAGUAAUGUGAAUUGCAGAAUUCAGUGUAUCAUCGAAUCUUUGAACGCACCUUGCGCCCUUUGNNAUUCCGAAGGGCAUGCCUGUUUGAGUGUCAUUAAAUUAUCAACUCUGAAGACUUUUUGUAGUUCUCAGAGCUUGGACUUGGAGUGUGCCGGGCCCCUCACAAAGGUUCAGCUCCUCUUCAAAUGCAUAAGUGGAAAUCCUUUUGCUGUCCCAGCGUGAUAAUUAUCUACGUUGCGGCAGUGAAGCAGUUGGACUUCUGCCUACAACCGUUGCGAACGUGCAACAGGGGCUCACCCCCCCUAAACCUUUUGACAAUUUGACCUCAAAUCAGGUAGGAUUACCCGCUGAACUUAAGCAUAUCAAUAAGCGGAGGAAAAGAAACUAACAAAGGAUUCCCCUAGUAACUGCGAGUGAAGCGGGAAAAGCUCAAAUUUAAAUCUGGCAGGUUCCCCUGUCCGAGUUGUAAUCUAGAGAAGUGUUAUCCGUGCUGGACCGUGUACAAGUCUCUUGGAAUAGAGCGUCAUAGAGGGUGAGAAUCCCGUCUUUGCCACGGACUGCCAGUGCAUUGUGAUGCGCUCUCAACGAGUCGAGUUGUUUGGGAAUGCAGCUCAAAAUGGGUGGUAAACUCCAUCUAAAGCUAAAUAUUGGCGAGAGACCGAUAGCGAACAAGUACCGUGAGGGAAAGAUGAAAAGAACUUUGGAAAGAGAGUUAAACAGUACGUGAAAUUGUUGAAAGGGAAACGCUUGAAGUCAGUCGCGUUCGCUGGGGAUCAACCUUCUCUCGAGUUGGUGUACUUCCCAGUUGACGGGUCAGCAUCAAUUUCGACUGUUGGAUAAAAGCUGGAGGAAUGUGGCAUCUCCGGAUGUGUUAUAGCCUCUCGUUGCAUACAACAGUUGGGAUUGAGGAACUCAGCACGCCGCAAGGCCGGGGUUUUACCCACGUAACGUGCUUAGGAUGCUGGCAUAAUGGCUUUAAUCGACC
rnacentral:rRNA from 1 species